UACGGGCGUGGGCCUGCGCGACUAUAAGAUAGCAGUAUAAUUGGUGACAAUUGGCAAGACCGAGCGACGUGGUGUCUGCAGAGGGGUUUUCGCUACGCGCACACACGACAACGGCGUGUAAUAAGUAUAAAAUUAAUAUGUAUCGCGUCUGGGUUUAAAAAAAGUUCUUCAAGAAAAAAAAAAAAAAAAGACUAUAGCUGUCGAUCGGUGUGUCACUGUUUCGGGAGAAAAGUCGAAACGGAUACGACAAAUUACAUUAUAGGGUUAUUUAACGCGUGUAUCUAUGUGCGCAGC